rnacentral:lncRNA from 1 species
CGCAGUGCUACUAUUUAUAAGUAGUAUUUAUCUAAUUUCUCAUUAAUUCCAGAAUUUAUCAUUUACUAAAUGGAAAUAACAUAGUAAAAAUGGAAGGUAACAACAAAAAUUUUCACCGACGAUCACAUAACUAAGAACUAAUACUACAUUGAGAUAAUAUUCAUUACAAACUCCGUAAACUAAAACACCGAAAUAAAAUAAAAUUGAUUCAACAACAUGAGGUCGAAUCAAAAUACAAAUAAUUUUAGUAACUGCUUCCUCAAACACUAAUGUAACCACUCGUCUAGUAAAGUUGUUCUUGAAUAAAUUUACACUUUCAUGUACCUGUUGAAGAAAAAAACAAUUUUAGUACAUACUUUUUGAUGAACAAGAUUUAGCCAAAAAAUAACAUAUCAUAUUUUAAUUAGUGAAACAAAUAAUAGAAUGACAAAUUAGUACUGGUAGAAAGAUGCUUACUCGAAGUUAGACAAUAAAUAUUAAUUCUUCUUUGACUGCAAAUAACCACAAGAAUUAAGAAGAAGAGAUAUAAAAUUAAGAGUACUUAAUCUUUCAAAAAAUAAAGAAUAAUAGACAAAUUUCUUCGUACCUCUACAAUAAAAUUAAAUCAAUAAGAACCCACAAAUACAUACACGUAAUAUGUCAUCUAGAGAAACCCAAAUUUUUAUUGCCCUACAACUGAAAGAAAAAGAAUUUCGUAUGAGAGACGCAACAGAAAAAUAAAUUGAAGUACAAAUAAUAUUUCUUUAACUUAGCUUGAGGAUUUGUAUCAAAGCAAAGGAGGCAUCAGAAGUGGCUUUGCGUCUUAAAAUGCCCAUCACGCGAAUUUGAU